AUUGAACGCUGGCGGCAGGCCUAACACAUGCAAGUCGAGCGAGUGGCGGACGGGUGAGUAAUGUAUGGGGAUCUGCCCGAUAGAGGGGGAUAACUACUGGAAACGGUGGCUAAUACCGCAUACCAUCAGAUGAGCCAAUAUGGGAUUAGCUAGUUGGUGGUGUAAAGGCUCAACUAGGCGACGAUCUCUAGCUGGUCUGAGUGGAUGAUCGUCCACUGUGGGACUGAGACACGGCCCAACCUCCUACGGGAGGCAGCAGUGAGGAAUAUUGCACAAUGGGCACAAGCCUGCUGCAGCCAUGCCGCGUGUAUGAAGAGGGCCUUCGGGUUGUAGAGUACUUUCAGCGGGGAGGCGUUACCCGCAGAAGAAGCACCGGCUAACUCCGUGCCAGCAGCCGCGGUAAUAC
rnacentral:rRNA from 1 species